rnacentral:rRNA from 1 species
UACGAAGGGGGCUAGCGUUGCUCGGAAUGACUGGGCGUAAAGGGCGCGUAGGCGGAGUGCUUUGUCGGGCGUGAAAUUCCAGGGCUCAACCUUGGGGCUGCGUUCGAGACGGGCAUUCUAGAGUGGAGAAGAGGGUCGUGGAAUUCCCAGUGUAGAGGUGAAAUUCGUAGAUAUUGGGAAGAACACCGGUGGCGAAGGCGACUUACUGGACACAUAUUGACGCUGAGGUGCGAAAGCGUGGGGAGCAAACAGGG